UGGGGGAUAUUGCACAAUGGGCGAAAGCCUGAUGCAGCGACGCCGCGUGGGGGAUGAAGGCCUUCGGGUUGUAAACUUCUUUUGCUCUGAACAAGGCGCACCAUGGGGUGUGUUGAGUGUAGGGGUUGAUUAGCGCCGGCUAACUACGUGCCAGCAGCCGCGGUAAUACGUAGGGCGAGAGCGUUGUCCGGAAUUAUUGGGCGUAAAGGGCUUGUAGGUGGCUGGUUGCGUCUGUCGUGAAAGCUCAUGGCUUAACUGUGGGUUUGCGGUGGGUACGGGCUGGCUUGAGUGCAGUAGGGGAGGCUGGAAUUCCUGGUGUAGCGGUGGAAUGCGCAGAUAUCAGGAGGAAUACCGGUGGCGAAGGCGGGUCUCUGGGCUGUUACUGACACUGAGGAGCGAAAGCAUGGGGAGCGAACAGG
rnacentral:rRNA from 1 species